rnacentral:rRNA from 1 species
GAUGAACGCUGGCGGCGUGCCUAAUACAUGCAAGUCGAGCGAACGGACGAGAAGCUGUCUUCUCUGAUGUUAUCGGCGGACGGGUGAGUAACACGUGGAUAACCUACCUAUAAGACUGGGAUAACAUCGGGGAACCGGAGCUACUACCGGAUAAUAUUUUGAACCGGAUGGUUCAAGAGUGAAAGACGGUCUUGCUGUCACUUAUAGAUUGAUCCGCGCUUCAUUAGCUAGUUGGUAAGGUAACGGCUUACCAAGGCAACGAUGCAUAGCCGACCUGAGCGGGAGAUUCGCCACCUGGGCUCUGAGAAACGGCACAGACUCCGACGGGAGGCAGCAGUAGGGAAUCCUACGCAAUGGGCGAGAGCCUGAUGGAGCAACACCGGGUAAGUGAUGAAGGACUUCGGCUGGUAAAGCUCUGUUAUUCGGGAAGAACAUAUGUGCAAGUACCUGUGCUCAUCUUGACGGUACCUAAACAGAAAGCCACGGCUAACUCCGUG